rnacentral:rRNA from 1 species
UCCAGACUCCUACGGGAGGCGGCAGUGGGGAAUAUUGCACAAUGGGGGAAACCCUGAUGCAGCGACGCCGCGUGAGUGAAGAAGUAUUUCGGUAUGUAAAGCUCUCUCAGCAGGGAAGAAAUAGCGACCUUUGGGUCGCCAGACGGUACCUGACUAAGAAGCCCCGGCUAACUACGUGCCAGCAGCCGCGGUAAUACGUAGGGGGCAAGCGUUAUCCGGAUUUACUGGGUGUAAAGGGAGCGUAGACGGCAGCACAAGUCUGAAGUGAAAUGCCGGGGCUUAACCCCGGAACUGCUUUGGAAACUGUGCAGCUAGAGUGCAGGAGAGGUAAGUGGAAUUCCUAGUGUAGCGGUGAAAUGCGUAGAUAUUAGGAGGAACACCAGUGGCGAAGGCGGCUUACUGGACUGUAACUGACGUUGAGGCUCGAAAGCGUGGGGAGCAAACAGGAUUAGAUACCCCCGUAC